AUACGGAGGAUCCGAGCGUUAUCCGGAUUUAUUGGGUUUAAAGGGAGCGUAGGCGGACGCUUAAGUCAGUUGUGAAAGUUUGCGGCUCAACCGUAAAAUUGCAGUUGAUACUGGGUGUCUUGAGUACAGUAGAGGCAGGCGGGAUUUGUGGUGUAGCGGGGGAAUGCUUAGAUAUCACGAAGAACUCCGAUUGCGAAGGCAGCCUGCUGGACUGUAACUGACGCUGAUGCUCGAAAGUGUGGGUAUCAAACAGGAUUAGAUACCCUGGUAGUCCACACAGUAAACGAUGAAUACUCGCUGUUUGCGAUAUACAGUAAGCGGCCAAGCGAAAGCGUUAAGUAUUCCACCUGGGGAGUACGCCGGCAACGGUGAAACUCAAAUGAAUUGACGGGG
rnacentral:rRNA from 1 species